UACAGAGGGGGCAAGCGUUAUUCGGAAUUAUUGGGCGUAAAGGGCGCGUAGGCGGCCUGGCAAGUGGAAGGUGAAAUCCCUCGGCUUAACCGAGGAACUGCCCUCCAAACUGCUUGGCUUGAGUCCGGGAGAGGUGAGUGGAAUUCCCAGUGUAGCGGUGAAAUGCGUAGAUAUUGGGAGGAACACCAGUGGCGAAGGCGGCUUACUGGACCGGUUCUGACGCUGAGGCGCGAAAGCGUGGGGAGCAAACGGG
rnacentral:rRNA from 1 species